AAUGAACGCUGGCGGCAUGCCUAACACAUGCAAGUCGAACGAGAGCAUCGGGUCUAGUGGUGCACGGGUGUGUAGCCGGUGGGGACAUGCCCUUAGGUUCGGCCUAACUAUCAGAAAGGGGUGCUAAUACGGGAUAAUGUCUUCGGACCAAAGAUUUAUCGCCUUUGGAGGGGCCCGAGUUGGAUUAGCUAGUUGGUAGGGUAAAAGCCUACCAAGGGGACGAUCCAUAACUGGGCUGAGAGGAUGAUCAGCCACACUGGGACUGAGACACGGCCCAGACUCCUACGGGAGGCAGCAGUGGGGAAUAUUGGACAAUGGGCGAAAGCCUGAUCCAGCAAUGCCGCGUGAGUGAUGAAGGCCUUAGGGUUGUAAAGCUCUUUUACCCGGGAUGAUAAUGACAGUACCGGGAGAAUAAGCUCCGGCUAACUCCGUG
rnacentral:rRNA from 1 species